rnacentral:tRNA from 1 species
GUCUUUGUAAUGUAGUGGUUAGCAUGCUAGGCGUGUAUUCCAGAGGUCCGUGGUUCGAAUCCCGGCGAAGGCG